rnacentral:rRNA from 1 species
UACGGGGGGGGGCAAGCGUUGUUCGGAAUUACUGGGCGUAAAGGGCUCGUAGGUGGCCAACUAAGUCAGACGUGAAAUCCCUCGGCUUAACCGGGGAACUGCGUCUGAUACUGGAUGGCUUGAGGUUGGGAGAGGGACGCGGAAUUCCAGGUGUAGCGGUGAAAUGCGUAGAUAUCUGGAGGAACACCGGUGGCGAAGGCGGCGUCCUGGACCAAUUCUGACACUGAGGAGCGAAAGCCAGGGGAGCAAACGGG